rnacentral:rRNA from 1 species
CAUAGCGACUAUCGUGGCAUAUCAAUAAGCGGAGGAAAAGAAACUAAUAAGGAUUCCCUUAGUAACGGCGAGUGAAGCGGGAAGAGCUCAAAUUUGAAAUCUUAAAGGUUUUCCCUUGACGAAUUGUAGUUUAAAGAAGUGUUUUCUGUUGAAGUUUCGGUAAAAGUUCUUUGGAAUAGGGACAUCAUAGAGGGUGAGAAUCCCGUAUUUGACCAGUUACUUUCCAGCUGUGUGAUACACUUUCAAAGAGUCGGAUUGUUUGGGAAUGCAGUCCAAAAUGGGUGGUAAAUUUCAUCUAAAGCUAAAUAUUGGCGAGAGACCGAUAGCGAACAAGUACCGUGAGGGAAAGAUGAAAAGAACUUUGAAAAGAGAGUUAAACAGUACGUGAAAUUGUCAAAAGGGAAGCGUUUGACACCAGUGUUGUUUAGUUGAAAAUCAAUUCAAUAAUUUUUGAUUCUAAGUAGUAUUGACUUCAUCAGCUUGCUGCUUUCUUCUCAGAAAUUAUUGAAUGCACUUUUCAGUUAACAAGUCAACAUCAAUUUCUUUUGUUGUAAAGGGUAAGAGGAAGGUGGCUUGCGCUUCGGCUCACGUGUUUAUAGCCUUUUAUCUCUGCAAUCGGAGAGAUUGAGGUCUGCAGCGUAGAUCCUUCGGGGUUAGAUACAUUGGUGCUAAGCUAUAGCCUUGUAUAGACAACUUGUUGACUAUGCUCAGUCAUGUAGCUUACUCGCUGAUGCUAUUUUACCUACGCCUUAGGAUGUUGAUAGUCACAGCGUGUAC